GUAGGUGGCGAGCGUUAUCCGGAAUGAUUGGGCGUAAAGGGUGCGUAGGUGGCAGAACAAGUCUGGAGUAAAAGGUAUGGGCUCAACCCGUACUGGCUCUGGAAACUGUUCAGCUAGAGAACAGAAGAGGACGGCGGAACUCCAUGUGUAGCGGUAAAAUGCGUAGAUAUAUGGAAGAACACCGGUGGCGAAGGCGGCCGUCUGGUCUGUUGCUGACACUGAAGCACGAAAGUGUGGGGAGCAAAUAGGAUUAGAUACCCUAGUAGUCCACGCCGUAAACGAUGAGAACUAGGUGUUGGGGGAAUAACUCAGUGCCGCAGUUAACGCAAUAAGUUCUCCGCCUGGGGAGU
rnacentral:rRNA from 1 species